rnacentral:tRNA from 1 species
CGGGUAUAGUUUAGUGGUAAAACCUCAGCCUUCCAAGCUGAUGAUGCGGGUUCGAUUCCCGCUACCC